AGUGAACGCUGGCGGCAGGCCUAACACAUGCAAGUCGAGCGCCCCGCAAGGGGAGCGGCAAACGGGUGAGUAACGCGUGGGAAUUUUCCUUCUAGUCUGGGAUAGCCCUGGGAAGCUAGGAUUAAUACCGGAUAUUAUCUACGGAUGAAAGAUUUAUCGCUAGAAGAUAAGCCCGCGUGAGAUUAGCUAGUUGGUGAGGUAAUGGCUCACCAAGGCAACGAUCUCUAGUUGGUCUGAGAGGAUGAUCAACCACACUGGAACUGAGACACGGUCCAGACUCCUACGGGAGGCAGCAGUGAGGAAUAUUGGACAAUGGGGGGAACCCUGAUCCAGCCAUGCCGCGUGAGUGAUGAAGGCCUUCGGGUUGUAAAACUCUUUAAGUAGGGAAAAUAAUGAUUGUACCUACAGAAUAAGCCACGGCAAACUUCGUGCCAGCCGCCGCCGUAACAC
rnacentral:rRNA from 1 species